UCACCGCAAUCCUAAACUUAUUCCGAUACACAUUAUCCUAUUCUCGAAAGUGUUAAUCAAUUAACCUAAAACCUUUCCUUCAUUGUCCAAACAAUAAAUUACACGCACAAGAAGGGCAACGCGAUCCAACGCGAGAAAAGUAUCCGUCAAACUUUUCCAUGUCGAUAUUGCCCGCUCUCGAAUCGAAUUCCAAUUUCCAGGGUAAAAGAACAAACUACGCCACGCGUUGAUGAAACGAGGACGCACACGUUGGUUAAUCGACACUGUGUUGCCUCCCCCCUGUUCACGUCCCGUCCCUGAGGGACGUCGUGUCGUUGGACGAUCUCGCUCGUGAUUCUCCGCUCGUUGGCCAACGACGGAGCACGUGUUUUCUGGGUCACGGUACAAGAUGCCGGACUCGUUAUUUCCGCGAAGCGACGCGCUAUUUUCAGUCAGCUGCCUCUUCGGAUACGUGGGCACCGGAACGGGUCCUUUCCCUCCCUCCCCGUCCACCAUUGACGACUGGAAAUAAACCGUUUCUCCUCGGCCAGGCUAACAAUGGAAACGGGUUUUCAUUCAAAACUAUUGCACUCGAGUCCCCUUCUCGUUGCCCUCUCGUCUUAAACCACUGUGGGGAUACUAUCGCGGAGAAUCGUGGAUGGGGGCGCCACCAAUUAGGCGACAUGAAAGUUCAAAGGAUCGUUAAUCGCGGUAUCUUCUCUUCUCAAGAGUUCUGAUUCUUGAUUAUCUUUCAGUAUCGACGAUAGAUGUCACCUAUAGGAGGAUGGAAACAAUGGAAUUUAUAAUAAUAACAGGAAGAAAGAGGCUUUGAAUCUUUUUUUUUUUUUUUUUUUUCUUUAUCCGAGUCGGUCCACGACUCGGCAGAAUGCUUCCAUUGCUGUUUUGAAGUACUCGGUCGGUAUUAACGAGUGGAUCCGAGGAUUCGUUUUUUCAAUGUGUUACACGGAAGUAUGUGGUCGUAUCGAGGAUUAAAAUGAGAUUAAUGUUUGGAGUUGAGAGAGGGAUAGCGAUGUCGAACGGAAAUAAGAUCUGCCAGUGGUGAAACCAUCGAAAGAAAAGAAGAAUGAAAGGAAACACGUGCUCGCAGAUGCAUCGCUCGGCGGCUAUCUAUUUUUGCGAUACGUCAAGCUAUUCUCAGUUACGCUCCGGGUGCACAGAGUGCAUCGACUGUCAUCGUUGCUCUAGGAAUAAACCAUCCAUCACGUUGAACUGAAUUCGACGCGCACGUUAGAUCUCUAGAUAUUUUCCUAUGUCGCCCUCGAACGGUUUCCGUUUACAUCAUCGACAGAUUUUGAUAAAUUAUUAUUGGCUGCGUAAUUAAACGACAAACGUAGAUACUAUGUUUCUCUAGACUUCCUCUAUUUUCAUUCAAGAAUUUCAAGAGUUCUCUAAUUUCAUUUCAAUCUGUUUUCAAUCUGUGAGGAAAGUAGGAAAUUUUUAAUAUGAAGAUUUUUAGUGCUUGUUUAUCUCUAUAUAUAUGGUUGGCUAGAUUAAACCGCAAUAAGGAAAUAGAAAAGAUUUAUUACUAUAAACAUUGUAAAAAAAAAUCGUUAUAUAAUUUUACAAUCAGGUUAAUAUUAAUAUAUUCGUGGAACACCUUUCGAGGAUCGAUUCUAAAGGCCAAAACAAAUACAGAAGUUGGUAUGUAAAAAUGUCGGUUAAGGCUUAUUUAUUAAGCUAUAACCAGUUCAAGUUCGGGUUUGAUGAAACGAGACGGAAAUAGAGCGAAUCAAUUCUAUCUCCGUCGCGCUGCCUAUCUCUCUCUAUCUCGCUCCACGCAAACUUAAAUUAUAUUGCGUUUUAAUAUGCAUAAACAUAAACCUCAACCAAAUAUUUUUGUAUAACGAUUGUUGUGUUUAUCUUGGCUUGUAGAAUCGAUCUUCUAAAGAUGUCCAAGAAUAUAUUAACACCCUGUAUAAAAUAUUUUAUAUCCUCUGCGAUAGAAAUUUUAACAUUACUGUUUAGUUUCUACCACUAAAAAUAAAAUAUUACGUAUUUUAUCAUCAUAGAAAUGUAUUUUUAUAUAAUUGUAUAAAGAGAGAGAGAGAGAGAGAGAGAUAGAUAGAUAGAUAGAAGGAAGUUAUUUGGCCCAAAUAUCUGAUACUUCAAUAUAAUAUUUAUCUAAACUAGGUGAUUUUUACGAAUUAGAUUUGAACAAGAAAAUGAAUGUCAUUCACACUUGAGGCUCACACUCAUAUAUAUAAUAUAUUCCAUUUGCAAAAAUUGUUGGAGAUAAUGAUGGAUACUAAUUAUAUGACGUACAGUAUGUUACGUUAUAUUAUGGUAUUCAGAACAUAAAAAUAAUUAAUAAUCUUAUAGUUUUCUUUUCUAAUAUUGUAAUGUAGUGAAUAAAAGGAUUCUUAUUUCCUGAAUAAUAUUGGAUUGGAAUAACACGUUGAAAGUAUUCUAAAAAAACAAAAUCACAGAAAUGAAGUGUUUUAUUUUAACAAAAAUUGCUUAAAGAAUUUAUUGGGCAGAAUUUCUUUCUAUUUAUUUCUUCUUGGUAAAUAAUAAAUAAUCAUAUUUAUAAAAUUAAAUUAUUUCGUUAGUUGAUUCUUAAUAGAUCAAAAAUUUUCUGGAUUAAUAACAAUGAAAGUGUGUUAAUUUCUCAUCAUCAACCAUUGAAAUAUCGCUGAA